CAAAAAUGAACCUCCACCAUAUCUGCAUUUGAAUAAAUACCUAAAAAUAUCGAUACAGUACUUUUUAAUAUCGAUACAGUAUUGUGAAAUGAAAUAUUGCGAUAUAUUGCAGCACCGAUAUCUUCUAACACCCUUAGUGAUUACUAGUAUUUACCUCAGU